UAAGCCCAGCAGCGACAAGAUUUUUGA
rnacentral:piRNA from 1 species